rnacentral:rRNA from 1 species
UACGUAGGGUCCGAGCGUUGUCCGGAAUUAUUGGGCGUAAAGGGCUUGUAGGCGGUUUGUCACGUCGGAAGUGAAAACUCAGGGCUUAACCCUGAGCCUGCUUCCGAUACGGGCAAACUAGAGGGAUGCAGGGGAGAAUGGAAUUCCUGGUGGAGCGGUGGAAUGCGCAGAUAUCAGGAGGAACACCGGUGGCGAAGGCGGUUCUCUGGGCAUUUCCUGACGCUGAGACGCGAAAGCGUGGGGAGCGAACAGG